rnacentral:lncRNA from 1 species
CCUUGCUGUGAUUAAAUGCGGUGGGUCGCGCUUUCAGUAUUGCUCGAAUGCUGCCAUUAAUCCACAGUUUUUGGUUUGGAUAAGUUCUAACCAUCACUGUAGGAACAACAUCCUCUAUGCACUUCCUGAUGAAACGAAUGACAGUCAGUGUAGGCAUCAAUGUUAUUCCCAGAGGCGGAGAGUAGCAGAAUGGAGGCGUGAUCCAAUUUUCUGAAUGACUGGCGGGUGAGAGCCUUGUAACCAUCACAGAAAGGGAGAAUAACAGGGAUCAAGUGUCUUCUCUCCCCAUGUGGCACAUGUGAUGUGCUGGUGAAAUUUAGGGAGAAUUGCAGGCAGCAUACCAAUCAGCCAAUGUGUGGCUUCCAUGCCCUGUGAGCCACUGAGCCAGUCUGAGUAGCUAGUAAUGGUGCUUUCAAGACAUCUGGGAACUCCUAACCCUAACCCUGCCAUUGGUUGAGAUACAGGGUGGGUGUUACAUUUUGGCUGAUACAUUGUUUAGAAAUAUAUUUUUUGGGACUCAAUAUACUCAAUAUACCAAAUCGAACUAAAGUAGAAAUGAUAAUGGACCUACAUUCAUUCAGCUUCUUGACUGUGUCCAGCUAGCUAAUAAUCACCAUGAAAUGAAAGCCAGACAGUAAGGGAGUAUCACAAAUUCCCAAAACAAUGGAUAAAGGACUAUUGUUUGCACAUUUUGACGGUGAGGAAAUAGAACACAUUUUCAGUACGGCUCAUGCGUCCCCCGAUGUAAAGUGAGUCUGACAACACUGACUUAGGUAACACAUUUACAUUUUAGUAAUUUAGCAGAUGCUCAACGGCACAUCGACAGAUGUUUCACCUAGUCGGCUCAGGGAGCCAAACCAGCGAUCUUUCGCUUACUGACCCAGCUCUCUUAACCGCUAUCCUCCUCUGUCUAUGUCUCCACACAACCUCUAUACACCGGGUAUCUUAUAUCCAGUCCCAUCUGUUGGUUAGCUGUGUCAAUUCCAUCAGCUGUGUUAAAUAGUAGAUAGAGGGGCUGAAAUACUGAGGCCAUCUGUUGGCAUUGCGUGACUCAGCUACUGGGCAUUGUCCAUGGGUUCAUGUGAGAGGCCAACAGGGUCAAAUACUAACCUCAGCUGCAAUCAACCCAGCCUCUCUCUCUCUGUCUCUCUCUCUCAUUGUGUCUUGUCCCAUAAAGCCACAGGAGCCUCUGUCUACAGUGUGGCUACAGUGGCCCUGUCUGACUGACCCUCAGGGGCCUGGCUUGGCUAGAACACAGAGCUGGCUUGUCUAGAACCAGCUCAGCCAAAAGCUCUCAUUUAAAUU